GACGAACGCUGGCGGCGUGCUUAACACAUGCAAGUCGAACGGAGUUACGUUUUCGGAUGUAACUUAGUGGCGAACGGGUGAGUAACGCGUAAGGAACCUGCCUCUCAGUGGGGGACAACAGUUGGAAACGACUGCUAAUACCGCAUAAUGCUAUUGACCGGCAUCGGUUGAUAGCCAAAGAUUUAUUGCUGAGAGAUGGCCUCGCGUCUGAUUAGCUAGUUGGUGGGUAACGGCCCACCAAGGCGACGAUCAGUAGCCGGACUGAGAGGUUGACCGGCCACAUUGGGACUGAGAUACGGCCCAGACUCCUACGGGAGGCAGCAGUGGGGAAUAUUGCACAAUGGGCGAAAGCCUGAUGCAGCAACGCCGCGUGAGGGAAGACGGUUUUCGGAUUGUAAACCUCCGUCUUUGGUGAAGAGAAAGUGACGGUAGCCAAGGAGGAAGCCACGGCUAACUACGUG
rnacentral:rRNA from 1 species